rnacentral:rRNA from 1 species
UACGAAGGGGGCUAGCGUUGCUCGGAAUCACUGGGCGUAAAGGGUGCGUAGGCGGGUUUUUAAGUCAGGGGUGAAAUCCUGGAACUCAACUCCAGAACUGCCUUUGAUACUGAGAAGCUUGAGUCCGGGAGAGGUGAGUGGAACUGCGAGUGUAGAGGUGAAAUUCGUAGAUAUUCGCAAGAACACCAGUGGCGAAGGCGGCUCACUGGCCCGUUACUGACGCUGAGGCACGAAAGCGUGGGGAGCAAACAGG